CUUCUCCUGUAAAAUUUAUUUACACUUACAAAAUCUUUGAGUGUAAUACAAUAUUUAUUUUGUAUUACACUCCAAGGUUAGGCUCACUUAAAGCAUAGCCUUAAAUGAGCCUAAUUUCUUAUAGUAACGUUAACUAAUUUAAUGUUAAUAAUUAAUUAUUUUCUAGGUACUCGUUAUUGCCUAGUUUGCCUUAACCCUUAUUAAAUAAAUUAAGCAUUUUACCAUUAACAAAAACAGGUGUAGGACUGACAGACAACCUACAGUAGUAUUCCAAUUAACUCCUACACUACUAUUGAUAAUUUCAUGAAAUAUAAACAACCAUUUUUGUAUGUUGGCUUGUUGUGGGAUUGUAGUUAUGAGUAACCAAGCUGGAUCAAGUAAUCAAAUUACCAGUAUAAGAAAGUCAUCAUCAUUAACAACCCAUAUUCGGUUCACUGUUGAGGUUAGGCUAAUGGUCCACCACACUGGCCCAAUGUGGAUUUUUUUUUGUGAAGUUCACACACAAAGAGAAUUAAGAAAAAUCUCAGGUAUGCAGAGGUUUCCUCACUAUGUUUUUCGUUUACUGUUUGAGACAUGUAAAUGUCAUGUUUCCUAAAUGGAAAGUUGGACCGGAAUCAUUGUGAUGAUCAUGAUGAACAUGAUGAAUGAAAUUAUUUACAUAUUAUAGGACAUGUCCUAAUUUUGUAUGGAGGCUAGGCCUUUAUUCCGAGUGUCAAAUAAGCAGUACAAAUUAUUUUUAUUUUAAAAUAACAUAAAAUAUAGGGCUUAAAGCACAAAAUAAAAAAAAUUUUGGAAACCACAUUUUUUUUCAAUAAUUAAAUUAUAAUGUAUUUUUUUCAUUAGCUGACAACAUUAAUUAAGAAUUUUUAUCAUGGCAACAUGCUUGUAGCUCACACCCUAACAGAUUGUCAGUGAUAUUCGCGUAGUAGCGUUCGUUUAUGGCGUUUAUAAGCAAUUUAACGAUUUUUUUGUUUAAUGCUUCUUUGUCUACAAUUUAGUGUUUAUUUUUAACUUGUGUCUUAUUGACAUUUGACAAUAUUACAUGACAUUGACAGCUUACACAGAUAUGAAUUCAAUUCCAGGUCUUUUUAUUUUCUGUUUUGAGCACUUUUACUAUAUUGUCUAUGUUUAAUUUGCAGACAAGGGAGCGAAACAGACGAUUUUAUUGAAAACAGGCUUACCAUCAAAGUCCAUAGCAGGAUCUAUUUUUGGUGUGAGGAAUGCAAUAAAUAAGUUUAAAUGGUAAAUUCCUAGUGCAUAUGUGACUAUAUACCAGCCCUGUAAACAUUUACAAAGUUUAAGUCGGUUGGAUCAGUAUGGGGAAAUAGUAUGUUGUAGAGAGACAAAUGGCUUCAGUAUUCCAUGGAUUCACCAUGUGGGUGCUGGGUGCAUCAUGUGGCACAGAGAAAAACAAAGGAGCCUGGGGCUUGUGACCCAUGUGUAGGGUGAAGGAGCUUCUCCGUAACAUGUCUACAUUUGGUAAUACCAAAUUAGGUAAUACCCUACUACAGCUACUUUGGCUACAUAUUCUAAUAUAGAGUUUACUGCAGUUUUAGUGAGCAAGUGAGCAAGAGAUUUUGCUGGUAUUCCUUUUGCAACCACUUCUAUAGCAUACAAACUAAUUACAUAGCCAUGUUUAGUUACUUCAUUUGUUAGGUUAGGUUUAGUUUAGUUAGUUAGGUUGACUUGUUUAAAUACUUUUCUAGUGUAGAAUCUCAGGAUUCAAUGAUCAUUUGAGUAGUGGUGUGAAAAAACAAUAAUAAACUCACUCGGUCAUAUUAGAGUGUAGAUUAGAAUAUUGUUACAGUUGAAACAUGCAAUUAUAAUUUCAAUGUUACAAAAAACUUACUUGUUUUAAAAAUAUUCGUAGGACGAAUAUAGCUAACAGUAAUAUACUGGCUGCCCAUCGACUCUUUAUAUGUGGUGUCCAUUUAUCUAAGAGUCCUUGGUAUAUCUGUAAAAUGAAACAGAUUUAUAAAGUACUGUUGUAAAAAAUAUUAGGUAUUAUUUUGUAACUUGCAGAAUCAAACGAAAAUAGCCAUGUAUAUGUUAAUUUAUUAUAUAUAUGGGUAACUUGG